UGUGUUUAGGCUACAUUAAAAUGAUAGUUCUUACAUUAAACAGUAUGCUGAUUAGUGUAAUGUGAAUAUGUUAUAAAGCAAUAUCACUAAUAUAACUACAGUGUUCAUGCCGACUUAUCAAUUACACGAUUAUUUGCUCGGGUGUAACAUUGUACUGUAAAUGAGCCCGGAGAUAUCAUGCGUUAAACAGUAUGAUUGUAUGGUGUAAUGUAAAUAUACAAUAUAUCAUAAAACAAUAUCACUAUUUAGAAUAUAUUUUGACUAGUGUUUAUGCCUCAACAAGUCUUGUUUACGCGACUAUCUGUUCGGGUGUAAAUGUAUCGAUGUAGUAUCGAUGUGCUGUAAAUGUGUCCGGAGAUAUGUAAUGUGUUAAUGUUUAGCCAUAAAUAUGUCCGGUAAUGGCCCAUUAACAAAGAUAUACCGAAUCUAUGUACCCAAUUAUCUUAUCUCAACUAUGCUUUACCGCCUUAGUAUUGCUUUAUAAGUUUGUUACUGUGGAGAAUACAUUAUGUUAAUUAUUAAAAACUUUUGUAUUGUGGCAGCAUCACUCUCCUCUUCAGCGGGCAUUUGCAGAAAUGCGACGGACAUUCAUAAAGGGAAUGUGUCUGCUACACCAACUUCGUCUGGUACCCGCACGUUUUGAACAAUGGCACGACAACAUUUAACUCCAUUCCCAAAGAGUUACAGUGUGUGAUGGUUUACAAAUGUAUACCUUAUUUUUUAUAUUUGGAAGUAUUUUUAGAUGCACACCAAACUUUCACAGCUGACCAUUUAGAAUCCUUUUCUUUUAAUUAGAGCCAUAUUGUACUGGUCAUAUAGAAUAUUGUUACAUGUAUACAUAUUGUUACUUUAUUAUUUAUAAUUACAAUGAAGCUUCUUCAUUUAUAAUUAUAAUAAAGCUUCUUAAAUCUAUUGUAUUGUUCAUGUUUUUAGCAUUUUUUUGCAAGCCUAUAAGACUUUUAUUUUAGUAAAAAAGUAUUUUGUACUUUAUUUUAACCUAUUUUUUUUUACUACAAGCAAAAGAUUUUCUCUUUAAGUCUCCCCACAGUCACAGUUCUUUUGUCCCAACAUUCCUCACUGAGCCAUUAGGGGGUUGGGUCUCCUCAGGUGUGAAACACAUCAAUAUUCAUGACCAUUGACCCUCCCUUGCAUAUUGCCUUUACACAGCAAAAAGUGUCUUACAAAAGUUAAAUCAAUGUAUUUGUUCAUGUGAAUGAGUGGGUUAAAUGGUUUUUACAUCUUUUUGUAGCAAAUUCUCUACUCUACAAGAGUAGAUAACUUUUUUGCUUGUUAACAAAUGUUUAGGAUGUGUUUCUUGGCCUUAUUUCAGCAACUUUUUGUUUUCUUGUUUUUACUAACCACGCAUAAACAUCAUUUACUUAAAAAUACAAACAUGUACAUACAUUUAUCUUACAUAUUAUUAUAGCACAGUUUGUGCUGAAUACAGUGUUAUGUGAUAUUGGCCAUUAAUGUGUUUUAAAGCAACUGAAAAAAGACCAAAUGUGAGAGCAUGUCAGAACCUCUGACUGUGUCCAAAAAGGGUCCGACCCCAGAGGGUUAAAUUAUGUU